rnacentral:rRNA from 1 species
GGGUUGUGAGGUUAAGCGACUAAGCGUACACGGUGGAUGCCCUGGCAGUCAGAGGCGAUGAAGGACGUGCUAAUCUGCGAUAAGCGUCGGUGAGGUGAUAUGAACCGUUAUAACCGGCGAUUUCCGAAUGGGGAAACCCAGUGUGUUUCGACACACUAUCAUUAACUGAAUCCAUAGGUUAAUGAGGCGAACCGGGGGAACUGAAACAUCUAAGUACCCCGAGGAAAAGAAAUCAACCGAGAUUCCCCCAGUAGCGGCGAGCGAACGGGGAGGAGCCCAGAGCCUGAAUCAGUGUGUGUGUUAGUGGAAGCGUCUGGAAAGGCGCGCGAUACAGGGUGACAGCCCCGUACACAAAAAUGCACAUAUUGUGAGCUCGAUGAGUAGGGCGGGACACGUGGUAUCCUGUCUGAAUAUGGGGGGACCAUCCUCCAAGGCUAAAUACUCCUGACUGACCGAUAGUGAACCAGUACCGUGAGGGAAAGGCGAAAAGAACCCCGGCGAGGGGAGUGAAAAAGAACCUGAAACCGUGUACGUACAAGCAGUGGGAGCCUCUUAAUGGGGUGACUGCGUACCUUUUGUAUAAUGGGUCAGCGACUUAUAUUCUGUAGCAAGGUUAACCGAAUAGGGGAGCCGAAGGGAAACCGAGUCUUAACUGGGCGUUAAGUUGCAGGGUAUAGACCCGAAACCCGGUGAUCUAGCCAUGGGCAGGUUGAAGGUUGGGUAACACUAACUGGAGGACCGAACCGACUAAUGUUGAAAAAUUAGCGGAUGACUUGUGGCUGGGGGUGAAAGGCCAAUCAAACCGGGAGAUAGCUGGUUCUCCCCGAAAGCUAUUUAGGUAGCGCCUCGUGAAUUCAUCUCCGGGGGUAGAGCACUGUUUCGGCAAGGGGGUCAUCCCGACUUACCAACCCGAUGCAAACUGCGAAUACCGGAGAAUGUUAUCACGGGAGACACACGGCGGGUGCUAACGUCCGUCGUGAAGAGGGAAACAACCCAGACCGCCAGCUAAGGUCCCAAAGUCAUGGUUAAGUGGGAAACGAUGUGGGAAGGCCCAGACAGCCAGGAUGUUGGCUUAGAAGCAGCCAUCAUUUAAAGAAAGCGUAAUAGCUCACUGGUCGAGUCGGCCUGCGCGGAAGAUGUAACGGGGCUAAACCAUGCACCGAAGCUGCGGCAGCGACACUAUGUGUUGUUGGGUAGGGGAGCGUUCUGUAAGCCUGUGAAGGUGUACUGUGAGGUAUGCUGGAGGUAUCAGAAGUGCGAAUGCUGACAUAAGUAACGAUAAAGCGGGUGAAAAGCCCGCUCGCCGGAAGACCAAGGGUUCCUGUCCAACGUUAAUCGGGGCAGGGUGAGUCGACCCCUAAGGCGAGGCCGAAAGGCGUAGUCGAUGGGAAACAGGUUAAUAUUCCUGUACUUGGUGUUACUGCGAAGGGGGGACGGAGAAGGCUAUGUUGGCCGGGCGACGGUUGUCCCGGUUUAAGCGUGUAGGCUGGUUUUCCAGGCAAAUCCGGAAAACCAAGGCUGAGGCGUGAUGACGAGGCACUACGGUGCUGAAGCGACAAAUGCCCUGCUUCCAGGAAAAGCCUCUAAGCAUCAGGUAACAUUAAAUCGUACCCCAAACCGACACAGGUGGUCAGGUAGAGAAUACCAAGGCGCUUGAGAGAACUCGGGUGAAGGAACUAGGCAAAAUGGUGCCGUAACUUCGGGAGAAGGCACGCUGAUAUGUAGGUGAAGCGACUUGCUCGUGGAGCUGAAAUCAGUCGAAGAUACCAGCUGGCUGCAACUGUUUAUUAAAAACACAGCACUGUGCAAACACGAAAGUGGACGUAUACGGUGUGACGCCUGCCCGGUGCCGGAAGGUUAAUUGAUGGGGUUAGCGGUAACGCGAAGCUCUUGAUCGAAGCCCCGGUAAACGGCGGCCGUAACUAUAACGGUCCUAAGGUAGCGAAAUUCCUUGUCGGGUAAGUUCCGACCUGCACGAAUGGCGUAAUGAUGGCCAGGCUGUCUCCACCCGAGACUCAGUGAAAUUGAACUCGCUGUGAAGAUGCAGUGUACCCGCGGCAAGACGGAAAGACCCCGUGAACCUUUACUAUAGCUUGACACUGAACAUUGAGCCUUGAUGUGUAGGAUAGGUGGGAGGCUUUGAAGUGUGGACGCCAGUCUGCAUGGAGCCGACCUUGAAAUACCACCCUUUAAUGUUUGAUGUUCUAACGUGGGCCCCUUACCGGGGUUGCGGACAGUGUCUGGUGGGUAGUUUGACUGGGGCGGUCUCCUCCUAAAGAGUAACGGAGGAGCACGAAGGUUGGCUAAUCCUGGUCGGACAUCAGGAGGUUAGUGCAAUGGCAUAAGCCAGCUUGACUGCGAGCGUGACGGCGCGAGCAGGUGCGAAAGCAGGUCAUAGUGAUCCGGUGGUUCUGAAUGGAAGGGCCAUCGCUCAACGGAUAAAAGGUACUCCGGGGAUAACAGGCUGAUACCGCCCAAGAGUUCAUAUCGACGGCGGUGUUUGGCACCUCGAUGUCGGCUCAUCACAUCCUGGGGCUGAAGUAGGUCCCAAGGGUAUGGCUGUUCGCCAUUUAAAGUGGUACGCGAGCUGGGUUUAGAACGUCGUGAGACAGUUCGGUCCCUAUCUGCCGUGGGCGCUGGAGAACUGAGGGGGGCUGCUCCUAGUACGAGAGGACCGGAGUGGACGCAUCACUGGUGUUCGGGUUGUCAUGCCAAUGGCACUGCCCGGUAGCUAAAUGCGGAAGAGAUAAGUGCUGAAAGCAUCUAAGCACGAAACUUGCCCCGAGAUGAGUUCUCCCUGACUCCUUGAGAGUCCUGAAGGAACGUUGAAGACGACGACGUUGAUAGGCCGGGUGUGUAAGCGCAGCGAUGCGUUGAGCUAACCGGUACUAAUGAACCGUGAGGCUUAACCUUACAACGCCGAAG